rnacentral:lncRNA from 1 species
GUGUAUUCCUGAGGCUGCCGUGCAUCCCGUCACCCUAGAGCCAGAACUGGAGAUUGUCUCGGGAGCUGCGAGCCCGGGGAGGAAGAGCCUUUGUGGAGAAUACACAUCAACUCCAUUAACGAUGUUUUCGGAGUCCGUCAAUAACUCACCAAAACGUAACUUAAACACGAUGAAUUUAGGAGAUUAAACAAUUUCAUUAAUAUUGAAAUGGCCGCUGAGGCUGAGCGCGCGCGCUUGAAAUGCAAGCACACGUUUUUCAAUAUUAACAGAAGUACUUGAAAAGAAGAAUAAUGUCACCUUCUUAAUUCAGCAAAAAUAGCCGGGCUGGGGGAGGGAGAGCGGCGGCGGCUCUGCAGCGCGGCUGCUGAGACACGGAGGGACGGUCCCCAUCAAGCAGGGCUCCCCCAAACCUGGCAGGGAGCCUCAAAACGCAUUUUCCCAUCGCGACCAGCGCCGACCUCGUGGGUGUUAAACCGUGCUCCCCUCGUCCCAGCCCGGCUGCCCUCGGUCCCAUCUAAUCCCUCUCUCUCGGGGCAGGAUGUCGUUUAGAGAAUAAUAAAAAGAAAAAACCAAACCAGCUGAUGCAAAAAGGAGCCCGCAAGCUGUAAAGUUAAAGGAAAGUCGGCUUCCGUUGUCAUUUGCUGCUCCGAGUGCAGACGAGAUGCCUCAGUGAAAAACGUUGUAUUUCAUAUUUCUGUCAUGCAUACAAUGGAAAGCACCCUACGUCCAACAUAGGAAGCAUUCUAUUCAACACAGCUUUUUGGAGGUUUCGAUACAAAUUUUUGUACCAAAAAUUGGCCUCACUAUGGAGCAAAUUCAGAGCUCCCUGUCGCUGCUGGGGUUCUAUAUACCACACCAGGCCCCCUGAUCUGCUCGAGGGCACUUUGACAGCCAGUGCUGCAACAGCCAAGGUGCAGCAUGAACUGGGGCCUUCGCAACUGCAGAAAGGUCAAAUCUUGUUUCCUUGUUGAAGGUCUUCCAAGCCCCAGCAAAAAUACUUCAGUUCUUUAAUUUUGCCCACAUGUAUCUUGUAUGUUUAGCCCUAGCACCUCAAAGCUUGGAUGUUUUCCUGUGA